rnacentral:rRNA from 1 species
AUUGAACGCUGGCGGCAGGCCUAACACAUGCAAGUCGAACGGUAACAGGAAGAAGCUUGCUUCUUUGCUUACGAGUGGCGGACGGGUGAGUCAUGUCUGGGAAACUGCCUGAUGGAGGGGGAUAACUACUGGAAACGGUAGCUAAUACCGCAUAACGUCGCAAGACCAAAGAGGGGGACCUUCGGGCCGCUUGCCAUCCGAUGUGCCCAGAUGGGAUUAGCUAGUAGGUGGGGUAACGGCUCACCUAGGCGACGAUCCCUAGCUGGUCUGAGAGGAUGACCAGCCACACUGGAACUGAGACACGGUCCAGACUCCUACGGGAGGCAGCAGUGGGGAAUAUUGCACAAUGGGCGAAAGCCUGAUGCAGCCAUGCCGCGUGUAUGAAGAAGGCCUUCGGGUUGUAAAGUACUUUCAGCGGGGAGGAAGGGAGUAAAGUUAAUACCUUUACUCAUUGACGUUACCCGAAGAAGAAGCACCGGCUAACUACGUG